GCUCGGACAGCCCGGAGGCGUUCUACUCCUGCUCGGACGUCGCCUUCGGCGGCGGCACGGGCGCGGGUUCGGGCUCGGGUUCGGGCUC
rnacentral:tRNA from 1 species